AACUUCUCGGGUAACGCGCUGCAGGGUGCGGUCCCGGUUCCCGGCGUCCGUCGCGGCGCUACCGUUUCUGCAGGUGCUCGACGUCUCGCUCCAGUCAUCAGAUGAGGAGUUGGAUAGAGUCCGGAUCGGAGGCUCCUCUCUCCUUUCUUUGUUGCCCCCGGCCUGAGCUUUGUCAGAAUACCCCGCUCGUCGGUUGCUCGUUCCAACAAGGUUACAAGAGGAUCAGUGGCUGGACAAAUAUUUAGAAACAGUGAGAGCGGGUCCCCCUGCCGUAGGCCUCGGCGGCUCGAUCGGCCGUGCGUGCGAUAAAUAUGAUCGGCCCGGGAGGUGAGCCAGUGCCCAUCGUACGUGCGGGGAAGCCUAGUCGCUGCAGUAGUUCAAGUAGGUAAUCCCAUCCCAACUUCCCAAGGAAUCGAAAGCAUAGGCAAUGUCAAGUUCGAUCGGCAAUGCCGGGGUGCCCGUCUUCCCGAUCUGUGGAAAUACCUCGCUCUGGUUGUUGGAGAUCAGACAGUUCAUAAAGGCCUGCUCGCAGCCGGAGAGCAAGCACUUUGGCACAAUAUACCAUGCAUAAACUGAAUGAGCGACAGUCUGUGAUGAUCUUGCCUGCGCCUUCCUUGCGCACCCAUUUGGAAGCGCUGGAUCGUCCUUUUGGAAGCAGGAAUCGCUAUUGCCACUGAGAGGUGUCAGCGUCAACCAUAUGCAUUUGGAGUUUUGGAUACUUCUCUUCAACUUCCAAGUGCGGCCUUAUCAACUGAAAGUCUGAAACAUAUCAGAAUAAUAGGAUGUUUAUUUUCACUGGAGUCUCAAAGUACAUUAUUUGUCCCAUAUUUCCGGAAAAGUAACGUUGAGGUUCUAAAAGUCUGAGUUUCUGUAGAUUUGUAAAAAAAUAUUUAUUGGGCUACAACUCGUUCUACAACUAUAUGUCCUGGGACCAAUUAAGCGGGCGGCUGCGGAAGGGGGCAGCCGGGCAAGAAGCAAGCGAACAAGUUUGGUGUCGUCUUCGCAUACCACAAUGCAAGGUGAGCUUUUUCCACCCCCUGUUUUGGUGGGUUUUUUGAGGCUCGUUGGGAGAUCGUUGCCGGGUGGGAUUCGAGUUCACAGAUGCGCAUGGUGGGAUUGUUGUGGUCAAGUGCAAGGAGUUCAAUUGGGCUUUUUUGCGCAUAAAAGAUGCCAUUUUUGAGAGCAUUCAUGUGCGUGCCCAUGGAUCCUGAUUGAAUCUGAUGCAAACCGCUGCCUCGAUUGUUCCAUGGCGCAGUGUGUGAUACCGGGACUCGCAUUUUUAACCCUCCGAAGUUGUUGCUUCCUUCUUCCAAACCAAAAAAAAGUGUUGUUUUUAGGCCUGUUCUCGGGCGCGAUUUUGUGGAUUGAUGAAUCCGUUGCAAACCCACGGCGCGUGAGCGUUAUGGCUAGGCUGGUGGCUCACGUGAGAGAAGAUCUAAGGUAAAACUCUGGCCAGGCCUCUCUUUCUCGCCGGUAUGGGCAGGUGCCGCCCUGUGGGCCGUCGCCGGCCGUACUGCCGUGGCAUGGCACCUUCGUCGUCAUCGUUAGGUCGCCCGUAGUGCAGCCCAAUACGGCCCAAACGCAUGCCGACCCAGCUCAAAGAGGGAAAAUGGGCUGGUAGGCAACUUGAGCAUUGGUUUCUUUUUUUUUUCCGGGUAGUGUGCGCAUUAGUUUCAUAGAGGAAGGUGGACUGCAUCACAUAUUUCAAUGGUGUUUGUUACAGCGCGUCUUGUGACUAGGCUGAUCGUCCAUCUGCUUGGGCUCUGCUGCCCUUAUCAUGAGGAUUUUAACGUAAGCACAUUUACAUUGUGUUAUUCAUUACACGCAUGGGUACGGUGUAAUUUUACGGUGUUCAAGUUCUAACUGAUGCUAUGUCAUAUAUAUUCCAAAGUAUCCCAAUCGUCGAAUGCGACAUCUCCCAAUGAUUGCAUGCUUACCUCACUACCAUGCCGCGCAAGAAGCAGCAAAAGAAGAAGAUAUCACCAUUUUUUAUUGGUUAUCACCAUGAUAUACUAGUUACUCCCCUGCUCAA
rnacentral:lncRNA from 1 species